AUUCUCUGGAAAAUGAAUUUGAAACAGGAAACAGUGAGCAUAAAAGCUGCUGAAUUAUCACAAAACAUGAACUGAAUCAUUAACAUCCUUCAGCAAGGGAACAUGCUGAUAACCAUACAGGAGAAUGUGGUGGAGGAAUAGAAAAAGGAAAUGGACUUCACCAAAUGGAACUCAACCAGAUCUUUGACAGAAUCUCCCAAACUCACAACCCACAAUGGCCAGAAGGGCAACAGCAGCUGGUGCACAGGGAAAAAAAAAAUCACUUACACAGAACCACACCAGAAGAUAUUGUCCAUCCACUGUUCCUUGAGAGGUAGAUGAUGUGUCACCUUCUUGAAUCGCUCCAGCCCAUGUGGUGAAGAGUAUUAGAGGAGAAUUUGCAGCUGGGAAUCAACUGUCAGGACCUGAAUAAAAUUGAAUUUUAAGCAUGGUGGGAUACAUCACAGUUCACCGGCAGAGUCAUACGGGGGAGAAACCAUGGAAGUGUGGGCACUGUGAGGAUGAAUUCAGUUACCCAUCUGAGCUGGAAACUCAUUGACGCACUCAUACUGGGGACAGGCCAUUCAUCUGCUCCAUGUGUGGGAAGGGAUUCACUCCGCUAUCCCAUCUAUUGAUCCACCAGCAUAUUCACACGGGUGAGAGAGCAUUCACCUGCUGUCAGUGUGGGAAAGGAUUUACUUGUUCAUCCCAACUGCUGAAACACCAGCGAGUUCAUAUUGGAGAGAGACCUUUUAACUGCUCAGACUGCAGGAAGUGCUAUAAAAGUUCCAGCGAUCUGAUGGACCAUCAACUUGUUCACACCAACGAGAGACUGUUCAGGUGCUCUGAAUGCAGGACUGGGUUCAAGAGAUCAUCUCAACACACCGUACACCAGCAAACUCACUGGGGAGAGGCCGUUCAUGUGCUCUGACUGUGGCAACGGAUUCACUCAGCUAUCUGACCUCUCAAUACACAGGCAAAUUCACACUGGGGAGAGACCUUUUCAAUGCUUGGACUGUGGGAAGCGUUAUAAAAGCUAUGGGGAAUUGAUGCUCCAUCAUCAAGCUCACACUGGGGAGAAACCCUUUCAAUGCCCAACCUGCGGGAAGUGUUUUAAAAGUUCCAGUGAUCUGAUGUCCCAUCAACAUGUUCACACUGAUGAAAGACCUUUUAAAUGCCCAGACUGCAAGAACAGCUAUAAAAGCUCUGGAGAUGUGUUGCGACAUCAAUGUGCUCACUGACGAGAGACUGUUCAGGUGCUCUCCCUGUGGGACUGGGUUCAGAUGAUCUUCGCAACUCAUUGAACACCAGCGAAUUCACACUGGGGAGAGGCCAUUCACCCACUCUGAGUGCAGAAAGGGAUUCACUCGAUCGUUGCUUUUGCUCACACACCAGCGAGUUUACACUGGAGAAAGACCUUUCAAAUGCACAGAUUGUACAAAGUGCUCAAAGUUCUAACUAAUGCGUCAUCAACACACUCACACUCUUGAGACCUUUUAAAUGCUCAGACUGUGAGAAAUGCUUCAAAACUUCUGGGGAUCUGAUUUACCAUCAACGUGUUCACACUGAUGACAGACCUUUCAGGUGCUCUCACUGCAGUACUGGGUUCAGGCAAUUAUCUCAUCUCACUACACACUGGAGAACUCAUACUGGGGAGAGGCCGUUUACCUGCUCCCAAUGUGGGAAGGGAUUUAGUCAGAAAUCUAACCUGCUGAGACACCAGCAAGUUCACAAGAAAUUACACUGAUUGCAUUCUGCUGUUCAUUACACCCAGGACUGAAGCAAACAAAGUAGUCUAUUUCUGAUGUUAAUAACUGCCAGUCUAAUUCUCAGGACUAAUGUUCUAGUGAGCAGUCUAAUGAAUCAGCUUUCAAUCAGUUGUUCUUUUGAAAAGCUCUCCUUCUAAACCAUCUCUUCCCUCCUUCAAUGAAAAAUGUACGGAGUGCAGAGAGCUGAUUCCUUACUAGGGUUUAGACAACCCAAUUAGCUGCCUCUGCAGCUUCCCUCUUUUCUGAGAACUCACCGGGCUAAACUGUUGCUGAAGAUAACAUGUUGGCAAAGCGCUGAACCUGCAUUUUCUCCAGUGUUCUCCUCGCUCCCAUCAUGCCCGUCAAAGCUCAUCUCGUCCAAAAGACCCACCUUCCGGUCCAUUCCCACUAAACAUCCAACUUCAUGUUAACUGAUAUUGUUAACUUGUGUUUUUUUUUUUUUUUUUUUUUUUUGAAGUAAGUUUUAUUUCUGGCUGGUGAACUGCAGGACGAUUGUCGGGAACAGCAAGGUUUUGUUGGCUGAAAGAUUAAUCGUAUUAGUAAAGAUUUGGUCAAUGGGCUGAAGAGUGGCAAAUGGAGUUUAAUUUGGAAAAAUGUGAGAUAUUAUAUUUUGGUUUUUAUAAAAGGGGCAGGACUUAUCCAGUUAAAAGUAGUGCCUUGGGGUUCAGGUACAUAAAUAUUUGAAGUUUGCAUCCACAGACAGGGUGGUUAAGAAGGUGUUUAGC